rnacentral:rRNA from 1 species
AUUGAACGCUGGCGGCAGGCCUAACACAUGCAAGUCGAACGAGUGGCGGACGGGUGAGUAAUGUCUGGGAAACUGCCUGCUGGAGGGGUAUAACCACUGGAAACGGUCUCUAAUACCGCAUACCCUCGUAUGAGCCCAGAUGGGAUUAGCUAGUAGGUGGGGUAACGGCUCACCUAGGCGCCGAUCCCUCGCUGGUCUGAGAGUAUGACCAGCCACACUGGAACUGAGAAACGGUCCAGACUCCUACGGGAGGCAGAAGUGGGGAAUAUUGCACAAGUGGCGCAAGCCUGAUGCAGCCAUGCCGCGUGUAUGAAGAAGGCCUUCGGGUUGUAAAGUACUUUCAGCGGGGAGGCGUUACCCGCAGAAGAAGCACCGGCUAACUCCGUGCCAGCAGCCGCGGUAAUUC